rnacentral:rRNA from 1 species
GAUGAACGCUGGCGGCGUGCCUAAUACAUGCAAGUCGAGCGAAAAGACGCGGAGCUUGCUCCUCUGACGUUAGCGGCGGACGGGUGAGUAAAACGUGGAUAACUUAUCUAUAAGACUGGGGUAAGUUCGGGAAACCGGAGCUAAAAAUGGGUAUUAUAUUCAACUGCAUGGUUGAAUAGUGUAUGAUGGUUUUGGUGUGAAUUAUAGAUGUAUCAGCGCCGCGUUAGCUAGUUGGUAAGGUAACGGCUUACCAAGGAAACGAUGCGUAGCGGACCUGAGAGGGUGAGCCGCCACGCUAGAACUGAGGCACGGACCAGACUCCUGAGGCAGGCAACAGUAGGAAGUCAUCCGCAAUGGGCGAAAGCCGGACGGAGCAACGCCGCGUGAUGGAGGAAGGUCGUCUGAGCGAAGAACGCUGUUAGGAUGGAAGAACAAUUGUGUAAGUAACUAUGCUCUUCUUGACGGUACCUGAACAGAAAGCCACGGCUAACUACGUG